rnacentral:rRNA from 1 species
UACAGGGGUGAGCAAGCGUUUGUUCGGAAUUACUGGGCGUAAAGCGCGGGCAGGUGGCCUUUUAAGUCCUUUGUGAAAUCCCGGAGCUCAACUCCGGAUGUGGCAUAGGAUGACUGGAGGGCUAGGGACUGGUAGAGGCGAAGCGGGAAUUCCUGGUGUAGCGGUGGAAUGCGUAGAUAUCAGGAAGAACACCGGUGGCGAAGGCGGCUCGCUGGGCCAGAUCCGACACUCAUCCGCGAAAGGCGUGGGGAGCAAACAGG